GAUGAACGCUGGCGGCGUGCCUAAUACAUGCAAGUCGAGCGAACGGACGAGAAGCUUGCUUCUCUGAUGUUAGCGGCGGACGGGUGAGUAACACGUGGAUAACCUACCUAUAAGACUGGGAUAACUUCGGGAAACCGUAGCUAAUACCGGAUAAUAUUUUGAACCGCAUGGUUCAAAAGUGAAAGACGGUCUUGCUGUCACUUAUAGAUGGAUCCGCGCUGCAUUAGCUAGUUGGUAAGGUAACGGCUUACCAAGGCAACGAUGCAUAGCCGACCUGAGAGGGUGAUCGGCCACACUGGAACUGGGACACGGUCCUGACUCCUACGGGAGGCAGCAGUAGGGAAUCUUCCGCAAUGGGCGAAAGCCUGACGGAGCAACGCCGCGUGGGUGAUGAAGGUCUUCGGAUCGUAAAACUCUGUUAUUAGGGAAGAACAUAUGUGUAAGUAACUGUGCACAUCUUGACGGUACCAAAUCAGAAAGCCACGGCUAACUACGUG
rnacentral:rRNA from 1 species